ACUAUAACUGACGCUCAGGCACGAAAGCGUGGGGAUCAAACAGGAUUAGAUACCCUGGUAGUCCACGCAGUAAACGAUGAACACUCGUUGUCGGGGAUAUACAUUCGGUGGCCAAGCGAAAGUGAUAAGUGUUCCACCUGGGGAGUACGUUCGCAAGU
rnacentral:rRNA from 1 species